UCGGAGUCAAUUGUUUGUAUGUCAGAUUC
rnacentral:sRNA from 1 species